rnacentral:misc_RNA from 1 species
GCUGCCGCCUCCAUCGUCUUCCGCGAUGAUGCCACCUAUUCGAAAAAACUAGCAAAUGGAGCUGCAACAUUGUAUAAAUUUGCACGAGAUUCUGGGCGGCGGACACCGUACUCUCGAGGAAACCCGAUGAUCGAGCCAUUCUACAACUCAACUGGAUACUGGGAUGAGUACAUGUGGAGUGCAGCCUGGAUGUACUAUGCUACUGGUAAUAAAAGCUAUAUCAGUCUUGCAACUGACCCUA